rnacentral:rRNA from 1 species
CCUACGGGUGGCAGCAGUGGGGGAUAUUGCACAAUGGGGGAAACCCUGAUGCAGCGACGCCGCGUGGGCGAAGAAGUAUUUCGGUAUGUAAAGCCCUAUCAGCAGGGAAGAAGAAAUGAUGGUACCUGAGUAAGAAGCACCGGCUAAAUACGUGCCAGCAGCCGCGGUAAUACGUAUGGUGCAAGCGUUAUCCGGAUUUACUGGGUGUAAAGGGAGCGCAGGCGGCACGGCAAGCCUGAUGUGAAAGCCCGCGGCCCAACCGCGGGACUGCAUUGGGAACUACCGGGCUGGAGUGCCGGAGAGGUAGGCGGAAUUCCUAGUGUAGCGGUGAAAUGCGUAGAUAUUAGGAGGAACUCCGAUUGCGAAGGCAGCAUACCGGCGCCCAACUGACGCUGAAGCACGAAAGCGUGGGUAUCGAACAGGAUUAGAUACCCUUGUAGUC